AUUGAACGCUGGCGGUAUGCUUAACACAUGCAAGUCGAACGAUGAGAAAGAGCUUGCUCUUUCGAUUAGUGGCGGACGGGUGCGUAACGCGUAGGAAUCUACCUAUUAGUGGGGGACAACUUAGGGAAACUUAAGCUAAUACCGCAUACGCCCUACGAGGGAAGGAAGGGGAUCGCAAGACCUUUUGCUAAUAAAUUAGCCUGCGUAGGAUUAGCUAGUGGGUGGGGUAAAAGCUCACCAAGGCGACGAUCCUUAACUGGUUUGAGAGAAUGAGCAGUCACACGGGAACUGAGACACGGUCCAGACUCCGACGGGAGGCAGCAGUAGGGAAUCUUCGGCAAUGGACGAAAGUCUGACCGAGCAACGCCGCGUGAGCGAUGAAGGCCUGCGGGUCGUAAAGCUCUGUUGUCAGAGAAGAACAAGUACCGGAGUAACUGCCGGUACCUUGACGGUACCUGACCAGAAAGCCACGGCUAACUACGUGCCAGCCGCCGCGGUAA
rnacentral:rRNA from 1 species